rnacentral:rRNA from 1 species
GAUGAACGCUAGCGGCAGGCUUAAUACAUGCAAGUCGAGGGGCAGCAUGAUUGUAGCAAUACAAUUGAUGGCGACCGGCAAACGGGUGCGGAACACGUACACAACCUCCCAAUAAGUGGGGAAUAGCCCAGAGAAAUUUGGAUUAAUACCCCGUAACAUAACGAUGUGGCAUCACAUUGUUAUCACAGAUUUUUCGCUUAUUGAUGGGUGUGCGGCUGAUUAGAUAGUUGGCGGGGUAACGGCCCACCAAGUCUACGAUCAGUAGCUGAUGUGAGAGCAUGAUCAGCCACACGGGCACUGAGACACGGGCCCGACUCCUACGGGAGGCAGCAGUAGGGAAUAUUGGACAAUGGUCGCAAGUCUGAUCCAGCCAUGCCGCGUGAAGGAUUAAGGUCCUCUGGAUUGUAAACUUCUUUUAUAAGGGACGAAAAAAGGCUUUUCUAAGUCGUCUGACGGUACCUUAUGAAUAAGCACCGGCUAACUCCGUGCCAGCCGCCGCAGUAACAC